UACGUAGGGUGCGAGCGUUGUCCGGAAUUAUUGGGCGUAAAGGGCUCGUAGGCGGUCUGUCACGUCGAAAGUGAAAACUCAGGGCUUAACCCUGAGCCUGCUUCCGAUACGGGCAGACUAGAGGUAUGCAGGGGAGAACGGAAUUCCUGGUGUAGCGGUGAAAUGCGCAGAUAUCAGGAGGAACACCGGUGGCGAAGGCGGUCUCUGGGCAUUACCUGACGCUGAGGAGCGAAAGUGUGGGGGAGCGAACAGG
rnacentral:rRNA from 1 species